rnacentral:rRNA from 1 species
UACGUAGGUGGCAAGCGUUGUCCGGAUUUACUGGGCGUAAAGGAUGCGUAGGCGGACAUUUAAGUCAGAUGUGAAAUCCCCGAGCUUAACUUGGGUGCUGCAUUUGAAACUGGGUGUCUAGAGUGCAGGAGAGGUAAGUGGAAUUCCUAGUGUAGCGGUGAAAUGCGUAGAGAUUAGGAAGAACACCAGUGGCGAAGGCGACUUACUGGACUGUAACUGACGCUGAGGCAUGAAAGCGUGGGGAGCAAACAGA